GGGGGAAGAGAGGGAGGCGGCGAGGUGUGUGGGCUGCGUGGAUCCACUCUUCCUGUUCUCCUGUUCGAGGGCGAAUCCUUCAUUUUUUUAGGGGACAGGCCUGAGGCUUCUUUGAUAGCACCCAGCUGAAUUCCUUGCAUCGAAAACUCUUGAUGCGACUUCCCGAUCACAGGGUAUUUUAUUUAUUUAUUUAAAAACAACAACUGUUCAUAGAGAGAUGUAAUAAAACAGUCCUUCUUUCCCCCCCCCCUCCUCUAGGGAGAUAAGAGAGCUCUGAUCCUUCAACAGGGCAAUUAUCUUUGCAUUUGGAGAGGAUCAAAGGGUCAUUCUGUAAGAGGAAAUGCAGGGGCGGGGGACAUGAAGCUACUCGAAUGGCGCCGCUGUCCCUUUUAUUCACAUCCUAUUGUCCCCAUAGGGAUACAGUGGCGCUUUUGGAUUAUAAUGUGUUAUCUAAGCCGUCUGUCUGGGACACAACAGUUGCAGGCCUCCGGUAGAAUCGUGUGCGCAGACACGUGCAUUCAUAAAAGCUGUACACAGCUCCCUCCCCCCUCGAAAAUCGAAGCAGAGAAAUGGGGCUGCAUUUUGCCAUUAUCUUCAGCAAACCUUCCCCAAAUCACAGUUUCCCCAGUAAGUCUCUGUUUUUAACCCAGGGCUUAUAUUCUUUAGGACAAUUCCAUCGUUGCAUUGUUUAAAAUAGCAUUGAAAUGCACGGUGCAAAAUAUCGCUUGUGGCGUUAAAACGAAAAACGGACUUCAGAAUGAUCUCUAUCCUGCUGGAAUUGGGUGGGUGGGUCUAGAAGACAAAUGGGCGACAGCUGCAGGGGCUUCUCAGCAUAUUUGGUGGUCAAAUAACUCGCAUGCUUUCUGGCUGAGAUACAAUAUGCGUAUCUUCCCCCAUCCCCCUUGUAUCUGCUGAGUGAUUUAUAAGACAGGCCUGGAAUUCAAGGAAGGCCAGCACAGUUGCAUUUUGAUUUUAUUCUGACCUUAGCCCAACCUGUUAUAGCAUCAUCAUAGGUCGAUAAGCCUUCCUUAAUGAAAAAAGAAUCAGAAAGACUCAGCCCCAGUCUUUGUCCUAGAUAGAGAUGAUCGUUUGGAAAAGCAAAAACAACACGGCCAUGUGCAAGGGGAUUAAAAGGGCGCUGGAACAACAAGAGGACGGGGAGCCAAAUGCAAAGCAUGAGUGAGGAAUGUCCCGGAUGCCAUAAAUAAUAAGACAGAACUGCAGAGCGGGGGGGGGGGGAGCUGACGCUGAGCGGUGCGCUGCAGAGGAAAACUGCGGCAGCCACGACGAUAUUAAUAUCUCUGGAGUUUGCUGCAGACCGCGAGACACUGGGACUGGCUUUGCUCUCCUGCCCUUGGGCAGAAGCAGCAAAGGCUGCGAAGAUGCAAAUACGCACGACUGCCAAGCAAAGGCUCCUCUGCUGCCCUGUAUAAGGAUGGAGAAGGGACUGAAUGAAGGGAAGUUUCAAAGAUUGGUCUCCCGGCUGUGGGUCCUGGAUGUCAAUUGUAUGAAGCUGGAUUUACAUUUUUGUAAAAUCGGGGAGGGCGGGGAAAGAAGGUUGGGCGGGAAACAAGGCGAACCUCCUUGCAACGCCAUGUUUUGCCUUGCGUGCACUCGUUUUGCCGGCUCCACGGUCUGUGUGUGCAGGCAGAAUGGAAGAGACCUGUCUUCCCACCCAGCACCCACGUGGCAUUUCUGCCCCUGUUCACUGCACUCCCCUGCGCAAUGCAGAUCCGACGCCUUUCUGCUCUGUGAAACAUCCCCACCUCUGUCUUGCCAAAUGCAAGGUGGUUCUUUUGAAAUGAGAUUCGCAAGUAAUACAAAACGCAAGUGAGUGAGAAGAUUAAAGAUUUUAUUCUUUUUUUAAAAAAAUGCUUUUUAUUGAUUUUCCAAAAC
rnacentral:lncRNA from 1 species